CUCAUUUCGUCCGUAGAGGAGAAUCCCCUUUUGUCUUUCGGCUUUUUGGCCUGCCCUCCCGAUCACAUGUUUUCGGAACGUUUCCAAUGCCAUCCCUGUUGACAGUGCGAUCGCAUGCCCAUGACGAGGAGCGCACCGUUGUCUCGUUCGGCUCGUGGUGCCCAUUUUUCGGGACACUCGUGGUUCACUCUGCCCAUCUAAUGCGAAAUGCAAACGAGUAGAUGGGGAAGUUUCUUUGCCUUUACAUUGCCGGCUAGACAUGGCCAAACUCGAUUCAGCUCGG
rnacentral:lncRNA from 1 species